AAACACAAAUGACUCUCGGCAACGGAUAUCCCGGCUCUUGCAUCGAUGAAGAACGUAGCGAAAUGCGAUACUUGGUGUGAAUUGCAGAAUCCCGUGAACCAUUGAGUCUUUGAACGCAAGUUGCGCCCGAAGCCGUCAGGUUGAGGGCACGUCUGCCUGGGUGU
rnacentral:rRNA from 1 species